ACGGAAGGCAGCAGUAGGGAAUUUUCGGCAAUGGAGGAAACUCUGACCGAGCAACGCCGCGUGAACGAUGAAGGCCUUCGGGUCGUAAAGUUCUUUUAUUUAGGACGAAAGAUGCUAAUAGGGAAUGAUUAGCAAGUGACGGUACUAAUUGAAUAAGUCACGGCUAACUACGUGCCAGCAGCCGCGGUAAUACGUAGGUGGCAAGCGUUAUCCGGAAUUAUUGGGCGUAAAGGGAGAGUAGGCGGUUUGAAAAGUCCAAGGUUAAAAGCAAGUGCUUAACGCUUGUUCGCUUUGGAAACUGACAAACUAGAGUACAGUAGAGGUAAACGGAAUUCCAUGUGUAGCGGUGAAAUGCGUAGAUAUAUGGAGGAACACCGGUGGCGAAGGCGGUUUACUGGGCUGGAACUGACGCUGAGGCUCGAAAGCGUGGGGAGCAAAUAGGAUUAGAUACCCUGGUA
rnacentral:rRNA from 1 species